GGUGGACCUAACUGUUGCUGUAAUGUUUACUGAAGGGUGGAAGGGUGGACCUAGCUGUUGCUAUAAUGUUUACUGAAGAGUGUACCUAGCUGUUGCUGUAAUGUUUACUGAAGGGUGGAAGGGUGGACCUAGCUGUUGCUAUAAUGUUUAAUGAAGAGUGUACCUAGCUAGGUCCACCCUUCAGUAAACAUUACAGCAACAGCUAGGUCCACCCUUCCACCCUUCAGUAAACAUUACAGCAACAGCUAGGUACACUCUUCAGUAAACAUUAUAGCAACAGCUAU
rnacentral:SRP_RNA from 1 species